rnacentral:lncRNA from 1 species
GAUUUAGAGUUUACUUUUAGGGUUUAGGGUUUAGUGUUGAUAGUUUAGGGUUUUGUGUUGAUGGUUUAGGGUUUAGAUUUGAAGUUUAGGGUUUAGGGUUUAGAGUUGAUGUUUUAGGGUUUAGAGUUGAAGGUUUAGGGUUUAGAGUUGAUGUUUCGGGGUUUUGGGUUUAGAGUUGAUGUUUCAGGAUUUAGGGUUCGUAUUUCAAAAAAAUAGGGUUUAGGAUUGAUGGUUUAGGGUUUAGGGUUCGUAUUUCAAAAAAAAAUAGGGUUUAUGAUUGAUGGUUUAAGGUUUAGAUUUGAAUUUUAGGGUUUAGGGUUUGAAUUUCGAAAUAGUAUAAU